UUGAAUUUGCUUACCCAUGAUGUCCAGAGUUACAUGGGGUUCUUCACAGAAUAUGGAGAUGUGUGUGGACAGAGGCAUUGCAGUUUGCCUCAGGACCAUUCAGUUCUCUUCAUCAGAGCGGGAGCUAUUUUAAUAAGCCUGCAAGUCGAUCUUCCAACUGCACUCCAAAAUUUCUCCAUCUCCAAAAUCCAGAGUUCAACUCAAUAGAUUGACUGCACCUGCACGAGAAGAGACCUUCAACCAUAAUUCGUUCUCCAAAGUCUUUCCAGAUUUCUAUUCCUCUGUUCUCAGCAACUGUGUGAAUAAUAAAUUCUUGUUUUUAAGUUUUAUUAAGGGGGCAGAGAAGCUGAGCCAGUCCCAG